AUUGAACGCUGGCGGCAUGCCUUACACAUGCAAGUCGAACGGCAGCACGGGAGCAAUCCUGGUGGCGAGUGGCGAACGGGUGAGUAAUAUAUCGGAACGUGCCCAGUCGUGGGGGAUAACGCAGCGAAAGCUGUGCUAAUACCGCAUACGAUCUAUGGAUGAAAGCGGGGGAUCGCAAGACCUCGCGCGAUUGGAGCGGCCGAUAUCAGAUUAGCUAGUUGGUGGGGUAAAGGCCCACCAAGGCGACGAUCUGUAGCUGGUCUGAGAGGACGACCAGCCACACUGGAACUGAGACACGGUCCAGACUCCUACGGGAGGCAGCAGUGGGGAAUUUUGGACAAUGGGCGCAAGCCUGAUCCAGCAAUGCCGCGUGCAGGAUGAAGGCCUUCGGGUUGUAAACUGCUUUUGUACGGAGCGAAACGGUCUGCCCUAAUACGGUGGGCUAAUGACGGUACCGUAAGAAUAAGCACCGGCUAACUACGUGCCAGCAGCCGCCGUAA
rnacentral:rRNA from 1 species